UACGUAGGGGGCUAGCGUUGUCCGGAAUCAUUGGGCGUAAAGCGCGCGUAGGCGGCCCGGUAAGUCCGUUGUGAAAGUCAAAGGCUCAACCUUUGAAAGCCGAUGGAUACUGCCGGGCUAGAGUCCGGAAGAGGCGAGUGGAAUUCCUGGUGUAGCGGUGGAAUGCGCAGAUAUCAGGAGGAACACCGGUGGUGUAGACGGCUUACUGGACCACGACUGACACUGAGGCACGAAAGCGUGGGUAGCAAACAGG
rnacentral:rRNA from 1 species